AUUGAUACACCAGUUCUUGUACAAUCACCAAAGUUAAGCAAUGUUGAGCCUGGUCAGUACCUUGAUAAGUGACUGCUUGGGAAUACAAGGUGCUGUAAU